rnacentral:lncRNA from 1 species
CGAAGGGAAGGUAUUAGCACCCCUACGCAUCCGUCGUACUCGACGGGAUCCACGCACAAAAGAGUAGAAGAAAGGUUGCUAAAGCUUGCUCACAAACUGCACAAGGCUGGAAGGAAACGCCGAAAGACAAAAGAAACGGGACUCGGCAGGAUAUCGCAUCCUGGGCCUACGUAGUCUGUCAGUCACAGACAUCAGAGUCGACGUAGUUCGGGACAGGGGAAACGUACUCGCUAGGAUGUCG